rnacentral:rRNA from 1 species
CCUACGGGAGGUAGCAGUGGGGAAUAUUGCACAAUGGGCGCAAGCCUGAUGCAGCCAUGCCGCGUGUGUGAAGAAGGCCUUCGGGUUGUAAAGCACUUUCAGCGGGGAGGAAGGCGGUGAGGUCAAUAACCUCAUCGAUUGACGUUACCCGCAGAAGAAGCACCGGCUAACUCCGUGCCAGCAGCCGCGGUAAUACGGAGGGUGCAAGCGUUAAUCGGAAUUACUGGGCGUAAAGCGCACGCAGGCGGUCUGUCAAGUCGGAUGUGAAAUCCCCGGGCUCAACCUGGGAACUGCAUUCGAAACUGGCAGGCUAGAGUCUUGUAGAGGGGGGUAGAAUUCCAGGUGUAGCGGUGAAAUGCGUAGAGAUCUGGAGGAAUACCGGUGGCGAAGGCGGCCCCCUGGACAAAGACUGACGCUCAGGUGCGAAAGCGUGGGGAGCAAACAGGAUUAGAUACCCUAGUAGUC